rnacentral:rRNA from 1 species
CGUUAGUACGGCGAGUGAGCGGCAAAAGCUCAAAUUUGAAAUCGGCCACCAGGUCGAGUUGUAAUUUGUAGAUUGUAUCUUGAGAGCGGAUUAAAGUCUGUUGGAACACAGCGCCUUAGAGGGUGACAGCCCCGUAAAAUCUAUUCUCAUUGUAAGAUACUUUCGAAGAGUCGAGUUGUUUGGGAAUG